GACGAACGCUGGCGGCGUGCCUAAUACAUGCAAGUCGAGCGAAGUUUUUCUGGUGCUUGCACUAGAAAAACUUAGCGGCGAACGGGUGAGUAACACGUAAAGAACCUGCCUCAUAGACUGGGACAACUAUUGGAAACGAUAGCUAAUACCGGAUAACAGUAUUUCUCGCAUGAGAGAUAUUUAAAAGUUGGUUAUGCUAACACUAUGAGAUGGCUUUGCGGUGCAUUAGCUAGUUGGUGGGGUAAAGGCCUACCAAGGCGACGAUGCAUAGCCGACCUGAGAGGGUGAUCGGCCACACUGGGACUGAGACACGGCCCAGACUCCUACGGGAGGCAGCAGUAGGGAAUCUUCCGCAAUGGGCGAAAGCCUGACGGAGCAACGCCGCGUGAGUGAAGAAGGAUUUCGGUUCGUAAAGCUCUGUUGUUAGGGAAGAAUGGAUAUGUAGUAACUAUACAUAUAAGAGACGGUACCUAACCAGAAAGUCACGGCUAACUACGUGCCAGCAGCCGCGGUAAUACGUAGGUGGCAAGCGUUGUCCGGAAUUAUUGGGCGUAAAGCGCGCGCAGGUGGUUUAAUAAGUCUGAUGUGAAAGCCCACGGCUCAACCGUGGAGGGUCAUUGGAAACUGUUAAACUUGAGUGCAGGAGAGAAAAGUGGAAUUCCUAGUGUAGCGGUGAAAUGCGUAGAGAUUAGGAGGAACACCAGUGGCGAAGGCGGCUUUUUGGCCUGUAACUGACACUGAGGCGCGAAAGCGUGGGGAGCAAACAGG
rnacentral:rRNA from 1 species